UGAACGGUUUUCUAGGGUUCCGUAGCUUUAAGCUGGUCUGGUCCGAGAGAAAACACACAGUUCAACUGUGACACGGAGGGACAAAAGCCCGGGAGAU
rnacentral:sRNA from 2 species